rnacentral:sRNA from 2 species
UGGAUCUGUCCAAAGAUGCGCAGUUGCCGUCUUUUGGCUCAAGGCCUGGCCAAACCCGUUUUCCUGCAGAAAAUAACAGAGGUGGAGCGACUGGCGAUGAUAAUAAUGCAAGGGACCGCCUCUCCGCUGUCAAGAUGCCAGAUAAACGGGUCGUCCGUUGCUUGAGCAGAAAUGUCGCUCUGAGGCCACUUUGUCUUAACCUCACUGCUCUCGCACAAAAGUGAGUGUCUAACGCAAGUGCAUCACAAACUCGUGAUGAUUUGGCACGAGUGCUUUACCUCAGCAUCUUGAGGAGAAAGCAAACAUGGCUGGGAAACUUCAGGGGAGAUGGCGCUUUUGCCCCACAGUUCUCGCGCAUAAAUUUACGAGAAAGUUUCAAGUUUUGAUUGGGUAUCAAUCCCUAGUGCCUGAGCGAGGCUAUUGCCCCUAUCUCACCCUGCUUCCUUGUCCAUCGACAUCAGUAACAACAUGAGACU